GAAGUUAUAGCUCAGUGGUAGAGCACGUGCUUAACAUGCAUGAGGUCCCAGGUUUAAUCCCCAGUACCUCCG
rnacentral:tRNA from 1 species